AUCUGUAAUACGCAUGCGCAUUACUCCCACAUGGACAAAAAUCACAAUAUGGCUGCCACCAACUGAGUGUUUUUCAUAUUUCUAGUGCUGUCUUUGUGGUUCCAGGCCUUUUGCUAGUUGUUUGCAUGAGUUGGAUCACUGAUUAGACUAAUAGAACCUUGCACUAGAAUGUAUCUUCUAAUUAUUCUUGUGUGAGGAAAUGGGCUUUUUAGUCUUUCCUGGGUUAUCAUUUGUUCCCUCCACCACAAUUACUCAUUUCAGAACUGCAUUUUACACCUUGCCAGCGAAUUGGAUCACAAGAGGUUGCUCAUGAGUUUUUGCUUACAUGUGUAGUAGGAGACUAGGAGCUCAAAAUGUCACGAAAAGCUAUCAGUAUUGUUCAUGGUGGUGGACGAAACUCUGGAUGCUAUAUUUGGAGAUGUUGAUAACAUUUCCCCAAGACUAGAUAUAUUAUCAACUCUUUAUUUCCCUUGGCACUACUUAAUGUGACACCAGUAUAUUUCGAGAAUGACAUUCCUGUCAAAUUAUUUUUAGAGAUGAAAAUAGGCUACAAAGUUCUUUGUAAACAUUAAUGCAAAACUCAACAGAGUAACCUGAAAUCAAAUGUGUGGCUAAACAAGCAUUUAUUCAUGUUUUAACUGUUUUUUUUUUUACAUUUUUGUUUGAGUUAUGAACAUUAUAAAUUAAAGUA
rnacentral:lncRNA from 1 species